rnacentral:rRNA from 1 species
GAUGAACGCUGGCGGCGUGCCUAAUACAUGCAAGUCGAACGAGGUGCUUUUGUAGCAAUACGAAAGUAUCCUAGUGGCGAACGGGUGAGUAACGCGUGGGUGACCUGCCCCAAAGUGUGGGAUAACAGAUCGAAAGAUCUGCUAAUACCGCAUGUGGUUAUCGGGUUUAGAAAUCGGUAACUAAAGCAGCAAUGCGCUUUGGGAGGGACCUGCGUCCCAUCAGCUAGUUGGUGAGGUAACGGCUCACCAAGGCGACGACGGGUAGGGGACCUGAGAGGGUGGCCCCCCACAAUGGAACUGAAACACGGUCCAUACACCUACGGGUGGCAGCAGUAGGGAAUAUUGCUCAAUGGGCGAAAGCCUGAAGCAGCAACGCCGCGUGUGCGAUGAAGGCCUUCGGUCGUAAGCACUUUCUGAGAGAGUGAGAAAGGACAGUAUCUCAGGAAUAAGUCUCGGCUAACUACGUGCC